GGCGAGAAGUCCAUUGAACCUUAUCAUUUAGAGGAAGGAGAAGUCGUAACAAGGUUUCCGUAGGUGAACCUGCGGAAGGAUCAUUGUUGAUAUCUAAAAUAUAUCGAGUCAUUCGAAAAAUCCGUUACACA
rnacentral:misc_RNA from 1 species